CUAAACCUAGACUAGAAAUAUUUCUCAAGGAGUGCUCACUUUACUAGGAGAAAUGGUAGGAUACUCUGGAGGCCUCCAUGAGAAACAUAUUUGAAAAUGUGUUCCUUUGCUUUCAGAAUGAAAAGAUCACACCGCGAAGUAUGACCUAGUGAAGAGAUGGCCCUUAGCUCAAAGAACACAUCAGUGAGCGUCCGCUUCCCGAGGGUAGCCUGGUCCCAAAUCAGUAACCAGCUGGGUGGAGCCUCGGAGUGUUCCAGCUGGAGACACAUUCUAGUGCCUUGGUUACCAUGGCCACGAAUGUCAUAGAGGCAGAAGUUACACUCGCUCAUGCGGACAGCCAAGGGACUUUUAAAGACCCAGUCUAGUUACAUACACGGGGUAAAUAUGUAAUCAUUGAAAUCAGUCACUUUUUUGUUAACACAUUCCUGGGUUAAGUCUCCCAUUAAACGUUUAAACAUUUGUUUAAACAUUUUUUUCUGCGUUUGUCGAAAUGUUAAGUGACCUAUACAAGGUUUUCAGCUUCAAGAAGCACUGUGCAGAAUAAACACCUUUACUACUAAUCCCUCCUUUAGAACCCAAGGGAAAAUGGACUGCUCUGCACUACCAGUGCUGGCAAGACUUUAGAGCUUCCAAUGAUAGACACCCUGCUGCGGCGUGUGUGCCAUCGGGUCGCCACCACUGGACUGGACUUGCAGAUUUCUUUCCGAAAAAAAAGUGUGUGGUUUUCCGGUAAUUAAAUUUUGGGUCUUAUUGGUACUUUUACUACAUGAGGGCCACUAGCAGUGAUCGAAUAUGGAAACCACUCCCCUCACCGACAAUGUCAGCAUCGUGUCUUAUACGGUAUUUGCCAGCUGUGCCAAUGAGCUUCAUAAACCACGCGUGGGGAUACUGGACUCAGAGCAAAUGCGACCAAGAACAUGAGGUCUGUCACACACAGGCUGGACAGCGGCCCCGUGGAUUGUCCACAGGAAACCCCGAGUUCAAAAUCUCAUCUAUGUUGGUAAAUAAUCUGCAUGGACACAGUUGUCUCCCUCUGGCUUAUUCUGGUUAAUCUGUGAAUAACAGGACCGGGCGCUUUUAAGGAAUUUCAACCCAAAGUAGCGGCCUUUUGCUUGGUGUCUAACUUUGAGCAGCUUGGUGAAAAUGAAACCACACCUGCAGGCAUAGUAAUAUACAUAGGAGACCUUAUUCUCUACCUCCAACAUAGGUGCAGCUCUUCUCAUCACUGCUUUGCAGUGCACUUUAUUUCAAGUGUGAAUCCAAAAGCAAAAAUCCAUUCCAAAUUUAUUACACAAAUCAGUUUUUUUAAAAAGGUCAUUAUGUGUUAUUCCCACUAAGGUAAAGGAAAGUGUUCUUCUAAAAGCACUUAGACCAGUAAAAUAUUGGUUUUGAAAUGACCCAAAGGAGAUGCAGACUGUUAUAAAUAGGAGGCUAGUGAUUAUAUUAUCAUAAAUUACUUAAUAAUAUUCGGACUGUGAAAGAUAUUCAGCCCCUUCCCCAUAGUGUCGUUUUAGAAAUACAAUGCAAAAUCACCCCAUGACUGCAACGCUAUAGUUUGAGGCAUACAGUUUUGUUUUAUUAGUACGCAGUAGUUUCACCAGGUAAUGGGUUUCAUUAAGGCGGACCGGUGGAAGCAUACACCACAUUCUGAUUACUUCCAGUGCCCUGCUACUACUUUUCUAUCAUCUCUCCUUUUUUCCCCCUCUUCCUUCUCCCACACAUGUGAGAGAAAAUACGCAAUAUGACUUUCUCAGUCUGGCUUAUUUCGCUUAACGUGAGGGUAUCCUGUUUAUAUUUUUGCCAAGUCUUCAGGAGCAAAAAAUCAAGAGGACGGCCAAAAAUGAUAGAAAACAAAGCUACAACACCACCAAAAGCUUAAUUAUUUAAAAUUUAGUUCCAAGUUCUAUAAACUAAGGUGUCUCUAUGUGCUAUAAAGUAUAGGUAUAGAAUGUUAAAAAACUAGAUUUAACCUAAUUAUGCUAGUAAUAACAAAUAUUAAACAUUCAAAGAUAACUUUGCUUAUCUGCUUAUCUUAAAAUGUGGAAAGGUUUUUUGGAGUAACUUAGUCUGGAUCUCUUAUAAAAGGUGUCCAGGAAUUUUUUUAAAUAAUAGCAUUUUUUUCCUCCAUAAAAUUCCUUCUUUAAGCAAAGGCAUAAAGAAAUUCCAUUAAUCUGUUAAAAACACAUUUUAAGCAAUAAUUUCCGCUUGUUGCCAACAAAGAGAAUGUUAAUGCGGUAAGUGAAAACAGCGAGCAAAAUCAAAAUGUGGUAAUGUCUGACACAGGGUCACCAAACACUGUGUGAAGCCGAGAGGCUGUUACCAGUUGCUAAGGGGAAGUAGGUGUUAAGGCACUCAUUUAAAUUACUGUUUACAGAUUUAGACCCUGUGCUGCAGUCAUUAGACCAGAUAUUAGAAGCCACGUGAAUGAAAAUCUCAGGUUCCGAUCUGUGGAAAAAAGGACAGAGAGGAACCUUUGGUGAAAUAACCUUGGCAAAUGAUGAUGAAGGUUAUUAAUACAGAGAACUGCAACUUGGGAGGCACCUGAGAAACAACAAAGAAAAGUGCCAGUGUUUAGUAUAUUUUUUAAACUCAGAAACACAAUAUCCUCCUCAGAGAAACAGAAAGCAAUCACAGGAAGCAUUGCCUACGACAGGAAAGGUCAGCUGGCAAGGGCAGGCAGGGCAGUGCUUACUGGGCACACUGGAAGCUUUAGGGAUGGGGGCACUAGUGAAGAAGUGAGGUCACAGGGGGCGUGGCCUCGGAAGGGACACUGGGGCCCUGUCCUUUCCUGUGGCUCUUUGCUCUCCACUCGCCCUGAGGGGAGCAGCUCUCCUGCCAUGCCACCAUGACAUCCCGCCUUCCACAGGCUGCAGCGUGGGGGCUUCCAACUAACAAAGCCCUGGAAACCUCCAAACCUAGAACCAAAGAUCUUCCCUGCUUUAGUCAAUUAUCUCAGGUAUCUAAGCACAGAGACCGAAAGCUAAUACAAACAGCCACAUAAUGCUUUCAAAAUAAUGUUUUCUUUUUUCUAUUUUUGUGUUAUUAGGGAUUGAGCCCAGAACCUUAUGCAUGAUAGGGAAGCGCCAUGCCACUGAGGCAUGUCUCAGCUCUAAAAUAAUUUUUGAGCUUAAUGGCACAAGCUGUCAGAAUAUAUAAAACCAGUAAGAUACUGGUUCACCAUCUUGGUGAAGUUAUUUUAUAAGGAAAAGGCGAGUAGGGAUUUUAUCCAAUUUUUGACAUGGGGCAUAAAGCAGAUUCAACCACCCUUACACUUGCACGGGUAUUAACUGACUGAACAUCAUCCUUUAAGAACACAUUUAAUCAUUGUUUAAUUUCAAGUCAUUCAAUUCCCAGUUGCACAGGAAACUAUAUUUGUUUGGUGCUACUACUUAAAUGUAUGUUUAAAAUCUGAACAAGAACUGAGAAAGACAAUCACUCAGCUUAAACUCAGAAAUAGUAAUCUUCCUACACUUGGAUCUUUUCUCCCCGUGGCUCCCUGUCACUAAUGGCUGAAGUAGCAAAAGAUACAAUUAGGAAAUGUAAGCCAAAAAGAAUAAUGCUCAUUCAUGCAUGCUGCCUGUUAGGCCCUGUGAGGGGCACUUGGCACGGAAGAGGAAGCCCUGGUGAGACACAGGCGACGCUCUGGGUGGUGUCCAGUCACGUUUCUUGGCGGUCACUGCAGGCGUCGCGCUGGGCCGGGGAGUAAGGAUGGGUGGCCCCUGUGCUCGCGUUAGGAGUGGGUGAAGGCAAAGGCAGCGUCAGGUCCAUCUGGGAUCCGCGUGGUCACUCCGCUGACGUGGGUGUGCACCGUGUGCUGCGCGAACCCCACGGUGCGGGGGGCGGGGGGGGCGGCUCGCAGCACCGAAGGCCUCGCAGGUUACGAACCCACCGAGGUCUCAGGCAGAGGAGCCAGGUGUUGAGCAGACUUGUCUCAACUCAAGUCUGCGAUGUUAUUCAUGUAGCCCCUCUCACAUGUGUAUUCUAGAGGGGACACCUUAAGAAUUUCAAGUGUUGGCCAGGGAUUUAGCUCAGUGGUACCUUGCCUGCCUUGCAAUUGCAACAUUCUGAGUUUGUUCCCCGGUAUGGGGCGAGUGGGAGGGUGUUCCCAAGUGUUAACUCUGAAAGAACAAAUACACCACAGCAUUGAAUGGCAACAGAUUUAGUGCAGUUAGUAAAUUCAAAAAUGAGUCCUGGGCCCUAAGCCUCAUUCUUCAGACUCACAGACCCAAUUGAAAUACUCCCAGGUUGGCUUGGUAGAGAAGCUCCUAGGAGGAAACAGAGCUGCAAGCCAGAACUGAGGUGUGAGCUGUCUGGAGAUUUUCAUCAAGAGGCAGGGUGAGAGUGCAAGAGUCACCACUGACCAAGCUGCCCGUGAGAUCUGUCAGCAUCACCGAUGGGGUAAGCCCAAGGGCCUGCUCACGGCAGUGGAUCUGGAGAAAAUCAAGCAGACGGAGAUGUGGUCUUCCAGAGACACCCAAACCAGAUGGUUAGGUCAGCCGAGCUGAGGCCUGGCCAUCAGGCAAAGGAUACGGCUGUCUUUAAUCCUGGGCUAAGGGAGGGAUGGUCUGAGGUUAUACGGGGAAUCACUGCUAAGGCAGCUUGUUGUUCCAACGGGCACUUCCAGCCCUGCCCACAGUCCAGAUGCUAAGGAUUCAACACACAGAAGUACCUGCUACAUGCUUGGCAUGUAUGAACCUAUUUACUUCUCAAACAAUUGACAGUAAUAGUAUUAAUAUCCUCAAGAGACUGAAGCUCUGAGAGGUUAAAGAUCAUAUCUGUGGUCACAGUCAAAAUUGAAACCUAGAUAGUCUGGCUUGAAAGCCAUGAAGAUAAAAGAUUUAGACUAGUUUGUGUAAUUCUUCAUCGUUGAAGUAGGGAGCAAUUUAGGGCAGAGUUUGACAGAAUUUCACUGAGAUUAAGACUCACUCAGAUCCUCUGUGGAAUUUUCAAAAAUUAUUUGCUUGUCAUACUAGCAAUAACUAAUUUUUUUUCAAGUAAUAAAACACAGGAAAAUUAUUAGCUUAAUAGAAAGAUCAUUUCUUUAAAUCCCUUUCUUUUGGAGCUAUUUUAAGAAUUUUAACUUUAUUUAUAAUUCAGUGAUCUUGUCAGAUAGGUUUUAGAAAUCAGACAUUUACUAAUUGCCUAUUAGAAGGAACUGACAAGAGAAAACAUCUAAGUUUCCACUUCAUAGUUUAUGGAAGAAGAAAUACUUUAAAACAUCAGAUACUUUUUUGCUUUUCAGUAUCAAAAAUUAUCUGUGUAGGCAGCCAUUCAAUAGCUGUUUUAAAUUCUUGGUUUCCUAAAUCUUCUCUUGCUUGAGUACUGAAGGGAACUGUGCCAUAUUUAUUCUGAGAUAUGAUAACACAUGCAAAGGACUUAUGAUUACACAAAGAAAACCUCUUCUGACUUCUGCUUUUUAAAAAACUCAUUAGUUAUUAUUUCCUCCUUUAGACUGGCCUUUUUAUACCCACCCCAUGGUAAUCAGAAGUGACUUGCUGAAGCCCAAGGGAAGCCAUUUUAUCUGUGAGGUGCUUGUUUUCUUCCACGAGAGUUUGCAGGUUUUCAUUUAAGGCAUUUACAUCUACUUUUGAAAAAUAAAAGAUGAAAAACUGCAUCAAAUCCAGAACUAUAUCAUCUCAUUCUUAGAAUGACAGUUGUAACUGUAACUUGGAAUGUGGCUCAAGCUCAUGUCCCCGGCCUCUGGUGCAGGGAUCUGAUGGGAUGAGUCUGAUAACUCUACAGUGCUCUAAUUAUUUUUCUUUUCUUUUGGGUUUUCUAGUUGUCUUCAGCAGGAGGAUUACUGCAAAACAUACAGUUCACCUUUAAUAAACGUGGAGGUUGUUUGGGUACUUGGUAUUUGAUUAAAUAGUAAUUAAAGCUUAUGAAUACAGAUGCAAAAAUCCUCCACAAAAUAUUGACACAAUGAAUGCAGAAAUACACAAAAAGGGUACAAGGACUAAGUUUAUUGGGAUCAAGCUUGAGUAUUCACUGUCAAUCAGUAUAACCCACCGCAUCCUUCAGCCGACUUUAAGUUAUCUCUAGGUUACUUAUAAUACAUAGCAUGAGGCAGGCAUAUUGUGCUUUGAUUGGGAAUGUCCCCAAGGCCGGGUGCUGGGGCUUGGUUGCUAGCUGAUGGCCCUUUGGGAGAUCAGUGUAUCAUGACGCAUCCAUGAGUUCACAGCCCAAUGGGUUAUUAGGAGGUGGGGCCCAGGCCCUGCCCUUGGGGAUUGAAUCUUGUUCCAACCUCCCUUCUCUCUGUCACUCUCUGCUUCCUCUUUGCUCCACCACAUGCUCCCCACCAUGAUGUACUGCUCACAUGGGCCCAGAAGCAAUGGAGCCAUGUGACUGUGGACCUCUAUAUGAAAAGCUAUAGAACUCUGAAAAAGUAAAUGGAAGAGGGCACCAAAAAAUGGAAAGAAAUCUGUGUCCCUGUAUGUAGAUCAGGCAGAAUAAACAUAAUCACAAUGGCCACACUUCCCAAAACUGAUAUACAGAUUUAAUGCAAUCUCAAUCAUAAUACCAACAGCAUUCCUCAUGGAACUAGAGAAACAAUCCUGAAAGUCAUACGAAGUCAGAAGAGACAGAGUAGAAAAAGCAAUUGUGGGCAAUAAGAGCAAAUCAGGAAGCAUCAAAAUCUCAGAUUUGAAGUUAUAUUACAAAGCUACAGUGAUAAAAACAGAAUGGUACUGGCACAAAAACAGGCAAGUGGAUCAAUGGAAUAGAAGAGAGGAUGCAGAAAUAACUCCAGGUACAUUCAGCCAUCUAAUGUUUGACAGAGGGGCCAAAAACAUACAUUAGAGAAAGGACAGCCUCUUUCACAAAUAAUGCUGGGAAAGGUGGCCAUACACACGCCAAAGAAUGACUCUAGAUCCAUAUCUCUCACCGUGUUCUAAAAUAAAAUUAAAAUGAAUCAAAGACCUAAAUAUUAAGCAGAAAUAAUCUGCUGGAAGACAUAAAUACAUACACCUGUUGAAGACACAAGCAUAGGUAAGGACUUUCUAAACAGAAGCUCAAUUGUUGACAAUAGAGUGAAGAAACCACCUAAGAAUGAGAAAAAAAUUUGCUAACUAUCCCCUGGGCAGAGGAUUAAUACCUGAAACAUAUAAAGAACUCAAAAAAGUUAGACCCCUCAAUAAAAGACCCAAUCAAAAAAUGGGUACUGAAAUGAAUAGAUACCUCUCAGAAGUACAAAUGGCCAAUAAAUACAUGACAAAGUGUUCAAUAUCUCUAGCCGUUAGACAAAUACAAAUUAAAACAACACUGAGAGUCUAUCUUAGUCCAGAAAGAAUGGCCACCAUCAAGAAACCAAUAACAUGUUGGCAAGGCUACAGGGAAAAAGGAACCCUUAUAAAUGGUUGGUGGGAGCACUGGGGAUUUAGCUCAGUGGUGCCACCGCCUGCCAAGCAAGCCCAAGGUCCCAAGUUCGAUCCCCAUCACACACACACACACACACACACACAAAUUGUUGGUGGGAGUAUAAAUUAGUGCAACCACUAUGAAAAUCAGUAUGAAGAUUCCUCAAAAAACUAAAAAUAGAAAUUCUACUUCACCCAGCUAUUUCUAUUUUGGGAAUCUUCCCAAAAGAGUCAAAGACAUCACAUUACAGUGAUCCACGAAUACCCAUUUUU